GCGUUGAAAAGCUCGGGGAUGACUUGUGGGUAGCGGUGAAAUUCCAAUCGAGCCCGGAGAUAGCUGGUUCUCCCCGAAAUAGCUUUAGGGCUAGCCUCAAGGUGAGAGAUACGGAGGUAGAGCACUGAAUGUCCUAGGGGGUAUUGCACCUACCGAAGACUAUCAAACUCCGAAUGCCGUCAUCUUAUACUUGGGAGUCAGACUGUGGGUGAUAAGAUUCAUAGUCGAAAGGGCAACAGCCCAGAUCGUCAGCUAAGGUCCCUAAAUGUAAGUUAAGUGGUAAAGGAUGUGGGAUUGCACAGACAACCAGGAUGUUGGCUUAGAAGCAGCCACUCAUUCAAAGAGUGCGUAAUAGCUCACUGGUCGAGUGAUCCUGCGCCGAAGAUUUCCGGGGCUAAAAAUUACUACCGAAGCUACGGCAUCAGUAAUGAUGGGUAGGGGAGCUUCCCAUACGGGUUGAAGCAUGACCGUAAGGACAUGUGGACAGUAUGGGAGUGAGAAUGUUGGCAUGAGUAGCGAGAUGUGGGUGGGAAUCCCACAGGCCGUAAACCCAAGGUUUCCAGGGGAAGGUUCGUCCGCCCUGGGUUAGUCGGGACCUAAGCUGAGGCCGAAAGGCGUAGGUGAUGGACAACAGGUUGAUAUUCCUGUACUACCGAUAACCGUUUGAGAGAAGGGAUGACACAGUAGGAUAAGCUAAGCACACUGUUGGUUAUGUGUGCCCAAGCAUUGAGGCAGUCAAAGUAGGCAAAUCCGCUUUGAUAAUGCUGGGAUGUGAUGGGGAGCGAAAUUUAGUAGCGAAGUAGCUGAUUUCACACUGUCAAGAAAAGUCUCUAUCGAGGUUAAAGGUACCCGUACCGCAAACCGACACAGGUGGGUGAGGAGAGUAUCCUAAGGCCAGCGAGAGAACUGUUGUUAAGGAAAUCGGCAAAAUGACCCCGUAACUUAGGGAUAAGGGGUGCCACCAUCAGGUGGCCGCAGAGAAUAGGCCCAAGCGACUGUUUACCAAAAACAUAGGUUUCUGCUAAGUCGCAAGACGAUGUAUAGGAGCUGACGCCUGCCCGGUGCUGGAAGGUUAAGGGGAUCUGUUAGAGCAAUCGAAGCAGUGAACUUAAGCCCCAGUAAACGGCGGCCGUAACUAUAACGGUCCUAAGGUAGCGAAAUUCCUUGUCGGGUAAGUUCCGACCCGCACGAAAGGCGUAACGAUUUGGGCACUGUCUCAACAACAGACUCGGUGAAAUUGUAAUUCCGGUGAAGAUGCCGGAUACCUG
rnacentral:rRNA from 1 species